UACGGAGGAUCCAAGCGUUAUCCGGAAUCAUUGGGUUUAAAGGGUCCGUAGGCGGCCUGUAAGUACAGUGUGAAUCAUCCCGCCUCAAUGGGGAAACGGCCAUUGAUACUGCAGGGCUUGAAUUAUUGGGAAGCAACUAGAAUAUGUAGUGUAGCGGUGAAAUGCUUAGAUAUUACAUGGAAUACCGAUUGCGAAGGCAGGUUGCUACCAAUACAUUGACGCUGAUGGACGAAAGCGUGGGUAGCGAACAGG
rnacentral:rRNA from 1 species